UACGUAGGGGGCAAGCGUUGUCCGGAAUUAUUGGGCGUAAAGAGCGCGUAGGCGGUCCGGUAAGUCAGCUGUGAAAGUCAUGGGCUCAACCCUUGAAAGCCGGUUGAUACUGUCGGGCUAGAGUCCGGAAGAGGCGAGUGGAAUUCCCGGUGUAGCGGUGAAAUGCGCAGAUAUCGGGAGGAACACCAAUGGCGAAGGCAGCUCGCUGGGACGGUACUGACGCUGAGGCGCGAAAGCGUGGGGAGCAAACAGG
rnacentral:rRNA from 1 species